rnacentral:rRNA from 1 species
GACGAACGCUGGCGGCGUGCCUAAUACAUGCAAGUUGAGCGAUGAAGAUUGGUGCUUGCACCAAUUUGAAGAGCAGCGAACGGGUGAGUAACGCGUGGGGAAUCUGCCUUUGAGCGGGGGACAACAUUUUGAAACGAAUGCUAAUACCGCAUAACAACUUUAAACAUAAGUUUUAAGUUUGAAAGAUGCAAUUGCAUCACUCAAAGAUGAUCCCGCGUUGUAUUAGCUAGUUGGUGAGGUAAAGGCUCACCAAGGCGAUGAUACAUAGCCGACCUGAGAGGGUGAUCGGCCACAUUGGGACUGAGACACGGCCCAAACUCCUACGGGAGGCAGCAGUAGGGAAUCUUCGGCAAUGGACGAAAGUCUGACCGAGCAACGCCGCGGGAGUGAAGAAGGUUGUCGGAUCGUAAAACUCUGUUGGUAGAGAAGAACGUUGGUGAGAGUGGAAAGCUCAUCAAGUGACGGUAACUACACAGAAAGGGACGGCUAACUACGUG